rnacentral:lncRNA from 1 species
GCACUCAAAGUGGAUUUUCUGGAGCUACAGAACUCGAAAUGGCGCGCUUCCAAUUGCGUUGGAAAGUAGACAUCCAGGGCUUUCCAGCAAUAUAUAAUAGUCCAUACUUUGGCCAAGAAUAGAUGACGUAAACUGGCGUUCAACGCCAGCUUUCUACCCAAAUCUGGCGUCCAGCGCCAGAAAAGGAGCCAAAACCAGAGUUGAACGCCCAAACUGGCAC